GAUGAAGAACGUAGCGAAAUGCGAUAAGUAGUGUGAAUUGCAGAAUUCAGUGAAUCAUCGAAUCUUUGAACGCACAUUGCGCCCCUUGGUAUCCCGAGGGGCAUGCCUGUUCGAGCGUCAUUUCACCACUCAAGCCUGGCUUGGUGUUGGGCGACGUCCCCUUUGGGGACGCGCCUCGAAACGCUCGGCGGCGUGGCACCGGCUUUAAGCGUAGCAAAAUCUUUCGCUUUGGAAGUCGGGGCCCCGUCUGCCGGAAGACCUACUCGCAAGGUUGACCUCGGAUCAGGCAGGGAUACCCGCUGAACUUAAGCAUAUCAAUAAGCGGAGGA
rnacentral:misc_RNA from 1 species